rnacentral:rRNA from 1 species
AGAGGGCUUGCUCUUAAGGUUAGUGGCGGACGGGUGAGUAACGCGUGAGCGAACCUGCCUCCGACAGCGGGAUAACAUUGGGAAACCGGUGCUAAUACCGCAUGACGCACGGACUUUGCAUGUAGACCGUGCCAAAGAAGCAAUUCGGUCGGAGAUGGGCUCGCGUCUGAUUAGUUAGUUGCGGGGUAACGGCCCACCAAGACGACGAUCAGUAGCCGGACUGAGAGGUCGAACGGCCACAUUGGAACUGAGAAACGGUCCAGACUCCUACGGGAGGCAGCAGUGGGGAAUAUUGGGCAAUGGGCGAAAGCCUGAACCCCCAGCGACGCCGCGUGGAGGAAGAAGGUCUUCGGAUUGUAAACUCCUGUCAACAGGGAAGAAGCAAGUGACGGUACCUGUAGAGGAAGCCACGGCUAACUACGUGCCAGCCGCGGC